ensembl:lncRNA
CUGACUUUGAUGUGCAGACGUGAAACUGUGGGCGCUUUCUUCCUCACUCUGUCACUGCGCUGCUGUCUGACCUUCACACUGAUCCUCUGCAGCUCACCUGCUCUUUGACACCCUCUGACUCUCACAGUGACUGACAGCUGAGGGGGCGGAGCCUGCAGCCAUGUUGGUGGUGGUGUGGUUACUGAUGAUGAUGAUGAAGAGUGACGCUGGCGCUGCAGACAUCAUCAGAGUGUCUGCCAACAGCAGCACGAGAGUCAUGCUGGCCUCAGGCCUGCAGGGGGACCCGAGGGCACGCGGGUACGACGUCAGGUGGACUCAGAUCCCUCACCUGCUGCUGAACUGGAACCGGAGCACGUGCUCCCACGGACGCUGCUCGAUGCUCCCUGACGGCUCGCUCGAGUUCAGCCGACUUCAGACCCAAGACUCCGGAAACUACACGCUGGAGGUGUUUGACAAGACUGGGUCGAGACUGCAGACCAAAGACUUCCUGCUGCAGGUGACAGGGUUUGCUCAGCGAGCGACGAGUAGUGGCGGCGUGAACACCGCUUUCUCUGGGAAGAUGGAGGAACCGACAGACGGGGUAGCGUUACAUCCGGCGGGCCGGGCAAGAAAUCCUCCAGCAGUUGGAGCAGACCGCAGCAGCAGCCAUGUGGUGUCUUCAGUGUCCGUCUGCGUCGUCCUGCUGGUUCUGUUGCUCUUCUUCAUCGUGGUCUUCAUCCUGAGGAAGAGGAGGGUUCAGAGGAAGAAAACCACAGGUCAGGAGGAGGAGAAGGAGGAGAACAUUUAUGUGGUGAUGAGGAGGAACGAAGAAGAGGAGGAGGAGAAGAAACCGGAGGAAGAGCCCCUCUAUGUUCCCUUCAGUCCUACAGCUUCCUCCCAGCAUGAAGACAGUGUCUAAGUGUGAGGACCAAUCAGAGCCCAGCGUGUCUGCUCUGUAUGGAAGCCUUUGAGGGACUUUAUUAAUUGGAGAUAAACUAUCUGAAUUUCAGGAGCAGGACCACGCCUCCAAACACACCUCUUCCUGUUCCUACAUAUAUUUGACCCCCCAGCUCUACAACGCCCCCUCCCCCCCCCCCAUUAGUACAUAGUCCCCUCUGAGCCUCCCCCAAGCUGCAGCUCACUUCAUGUUUCCCAACAACCCGUCGGCGUGGUUUUCCCGUUGUUACGCUGCUCUGAUGGGUUUUUUUUUUUGCCUGUCCCGUUUGGCUCUUUUGCAUCAGAAUUGUUGUCUAAAGACAAAGAAAGAUGCCCAACGGAUUUACUUUACCAAACUGACCAUCCCAGCCUCGCCAUAAUGGUCCAUUUGAUUCACCUUUUAUUGUUUAUUUUAUUUUCACUUGCUGAAUACGGGACAGACUUGACUGGGGGAAAGAAGGGGAGAAAGAAAGAGGGAAAGAGAAACAGC